rnacentral:rRNA from 1 species
AGCAGCCGCGGUAAUUCCAGCUCCAAUAGCGUAUAUUAAAGUUGUUGCAGUUAAAAAGCUCGUAGUUGAAUUUCGGGGUCAGUAGGUUGGUCGUGCCACCGGUACGUACUGGUCUCACUGAUUCCUCCUUCCUGAAGAACCGUAAUGCCAUUAAUUUGGUGUUGCGGGGAAACAGGACUGUUACUUUGAAAAAAUUAGAGUGUUUAAAGCAAGCUAACGCUUGAGUACAUUAGCAUGGAAUAAUGAAAUAGGACGAUCGAUCCUAUUUUGUUGGUUUCUAGGAUUGACGUAAUGAUUAAUAGGGAUAGUUGGGGGCAUUAGUAUUCAAUUGUCAGAGGUGAAAUUCUUGGAUUUAUUGAAGACUAACUACUGCGAAAGCAUUUGCCAAGGAUGUUUUCAUUAAUCAAGAACGAAAGUUAGGGGAUCGAAGACGAUCAGAUACCGUCGUAGUCUUAACCAUAAACUAUGCCGACUAGGGAUCGGAUGAUGUUAAUUUUAUAAUGACUCAUUCGGCGCCUUA